AGCGAACGCUGGCGGCAGGCCUAACACAUGCAAGUCGAACGAGGUCUUCGGACCUAGUGGCGGACGGGUGAGUAACACGUGGGAACGUGCCCUUUGGUACGGAAUAACUCAGGGAAACUUGAGCUAAUACCGUAUGUGCCCUUAGGGGGAAAGAUUUAUCGCCAUUGGAGCGGCCCGCGUCUGAUUAGCUAGUUGGUGAGGUAAUGGCUCACCAAGGCGACGAUCAGUAGCUGGUCUGAGAGGAUGACCAGCCACAUUGGGACUGAGACACGGCCCAAACUCCUACGGGAGGCAGCAGUGGGGAAUCUUGCGCAAUGGGCGAAAGCCUGACGCAGCCAUGCCGCGUGGAUGAUGAAGGUCUUAGGAUUGUAAAAUCCUUUCACCGGUGAAGAUAAUGACUGUAGCCGGAGAAGAAGCCCCGGCUAACUUCGUGCCAGCCGCCGCUGUAA
rnacentral:rRNA from 1 species